ACUACAUAAAUAAUUUUUACAACAUAAAAGCAAAAUAAAUUCAUAUAUAUUGUAAUACAGUAAGCCAGAGUAUUUAAUUUAAUUUACAGUAACAAGUGGGCCCUCGAAUAACCAAAAGUAAGAAAGAUUAUGAACCUACAGUUUGGAGGAUGCAAAUCCAAUGGUGGUCCUCGAUGAAAUCAGCUAUCUAUAGACUAUCCUGAGCCUGAAAUGGGUGAAAAUGAGGGUGGUGAGAUUAUAUAAUCCCAGUGAGUAAACAAAUACCAUCUAAAAUAUCUAAAGUCGAGUAAAUGGAGACAGAUAAAAUAGUUUAACAUACUGUAAUUUAUCACUUUUCAACUUGUUUUAACCAAAUAAAAUCAAUUCAUAUAAAUUGAGUAAUCAACAUGGCUUAUGAAUUUCUUCAAAGCUUUGGCUCGUGCCAAAAUCAUUCUCAUACCCAGUUAUCAGGGAUGCCAUGAUCGAAGGCUAUCCCAACCGAGUUCGCCAAGGCUAUUAAAAUUUCGUAUACACAUAAACAUAUUUUUAUUUUGAAAACAUAACCGUUCCUUGGCGUUGGCUGAGUUCACCCUCACGUGGUGGUUUGGCGUGAAGUGAACUCUAAAGUUAUACCUCGGGAGCUACCCUACUCGUCUCUCCAACCGAGGUAAAAUAUAACGAGAUUUCGUGCCCCUCUAAUAGGCUGGUCCACAGAAAACCCUGCCACUGCAGCAAGCUAAACCCACCAUACAAUAAAAUUCAACAGCAUGACAUGACAUAUUUUAUUUUAUUUUACGGCCUUUCAAGGCAAAUCAACAAAUUAUACAUUUCCAACACAUUUAUCAAAUCAACCAUUCAUGCCAAUAUUGCCAUAAGCCAAUCAAUUAGAAUCAUGAAUUUACAACACACAAAAGCAGUCUCCAAUUACUCUAUUUUCAAACCAUCAUUCAAUUUUAAAACAAUUUUAUGAAAUCAUUUCAUUAAAUCACAUUUUGUUUAUAAAACCAAAAAAUUAAUCAUUUAAUUCAUUUUCCAUAAAAUUCACAAAAUCGAAUAAAACAUACUUUAAAUAAUUAAGAUGAUGAUAAGGUUACUCACUAUUUCGGGAGUCGAAUUCCAAGUACUCCGAUUCUUGAUCCUCGGGUACUAUUUCUUUACUUUUGUCAAAAUGCUCACCACCUAGACAUAAUGAACAAUAAGCCAUUUACUAUUAUGCUAAAUUGUUAUAAAACCAAUUCAGGCUUUAUACUAAUGUAUGAAAUGGGAUGCAAAUUG
rnacentral:lncRNA from 1 species